rnacentral:rRNA from 1 species
UACGUAGGGGGCAAGCGUUGUCCGGAUUUAUUGGGCGUAAAGAGCGUGUAGGCGGCUUUACAGGUCCGUUGUGAAAACUCGAGGCUCAACCUCGAGACGCCGGUGGAAACCGUAAGGCUAGAGUCCGGAAGAGGAGAGUGGAAUUCCUGGUGUAGCGGUGAAAUGCGCAGAUAUCAGGAGGAACACCCGUGGCGAAAGCGGCUCUCUGGGACGGUACUGACGCUGAGACGCGAAAGCGUGGGGAGCAAACGGG